rnacentral:rRNA from 1 species
GACGAACGCUGGCGGCGUGCCUAAUACAUGCAAGUAGAACGCACAGUUUAUACCGUAGCUUGCUACACCAUAGACUGUGAGUUGCGAACGGGUGAGUAACGCGUAGGUAACCUGCCUGGUAGCGGGGGAUAACUAUUGGAAACGAUAGCUAAUACCGCAUAAUAUUAAUUAUUGCAUGAUAAUUGAUUGAAAGAUGCAACUGCAUCACUACCAGAUGGACCUGCGUUGUAUUAGCUAGUAGGUGAGGUAACGGCUCACCUAGGCGACGAUACAUAGCCGACCUGAGAGGGUGAUCGGCCAAACUGGGACUGAGACACGGCCCAGACUCCUACGGGAGGCAGCAGUAGGGAAUCUUCGGCAAUGGACGAAAGUCUGACCGAGCAACGCCGCGUGAGUGAAGAAGGUUUUCGGAUCGUAAAGCUCUGUUGUAAGAGAAGAACGGGUGUGAGAGUGGAAAGUUCACACUGUGACGGUAUCUUACCAGAAAGGGACGGCUAACUACGUG